GCUUUGGGUUAUCAACAUGAUCAAUGAUGUUAGCCACCUUGACCGCUGUUGAUUCAGCUAACAAGAUUGUGUUCUCAGGUUCCAUGGGUUUAAAGUGUUGCUACUUUUUGUUGGAUCUUGGCUAAUCGAAGAGAACCUUCUCAUUUUGGUGGUUUGUGACAAGGUGCAUGGGAAGCUCUACACCACCACCCUUCG